ensembl:lncRNA
AACAUUUCGUUGAGACUGUCUUUUCCUCCAUUUUACAACUCGUACUCCAAAUCGUGCUGUAAGCUGUAUCCAGGAGGAUGCUACUUGCUGCUGAACAGUGCUGGAUACGUGUGUGAUUUUCUGAGAGGCAGAGUGACCCAGAGCCAGGGCGACGGCUGGCUCCAGUUCACUAUUUCAAAUGCACAGUUCAGUGACCAGGGAUUUUACAGGUGCACUGUUAUGGGGACCCCAAUCUACAUAGACUAUUAUGUAGAAGUGAAAGAUACUUCUGAUCAUCUGCUAUCCCAUAAAACCACUACUAAAGCUCAUGGCAUCGCUACAGACCUGGAGCCAACUGAACCUGUCAUGGAUGAAGACAUGAGUGAUCUGCCCAGAGAUCCCUGGAGUUUCCCUCUCCCUGCUGUUGUCUCUAUGGCAGCGGUGAUUUGUAUCUCUUCACUGACUGCUUUGGUUUUCUGCUGCGUGAAGGCAAAACAGAAACAGUCCAAUACAAAGCACGCUGAGUCACCUCUAACAGACACAGCCUCAGUGAGUGUGAAACAGGAACAUGUGGAAAUCAGUUCAAUCGUUUACACCACAGUGGAUUUCAAAGCUCACGAAAGUCCCACACAAAUAUAUGAAAACUUGAGAGCGCCCAAAAUACAAGAAGGUCACCGUGCCCCGCAACAUCCUGGCAACGUUGAGUACUCGACACUGGCAGUCCAUCAACAUCCAUGACUUAGUGGUAGUUUUUCAUUGUCUCUGGAUCAGUGGUUCUACAAUGGGGUGCAGAAACCACAGGAACAGGAACAUUUUUUAUGGUAGAGUG